GUCAAGUUAGUUUAUAAAAAUAUCAGCCUGUGGAUUUGAAGAUGAAACCUUUGUUUUCACUUGACC
rnacentral:tRNA from 1 species